GGAAAAAGAUGGAGAUGGUGCCUUGGGCCAUACUUAAAAAGGAACAUAUAAAACACGUUGAUGUGGCUGCCUUCAGUCUCCAUUAUCCAAGGUAGAGAGCACUGUGGUUGGUUGGUGUCUUAAUUUGGGCCAUGACUCCAUAUGCUAUUAAUUGGUACAUACAACGUCUAUAUAUAAAGAUAGUGUAAUUAAUAUUUCAUAUUUGCAAGAGGCCAAGAGCCUCAGACACUGUAAAAGAAAUGGGGUGGCUCAAUUCCUUCUUCUCUCCCUUGAAGAAACUAUGGUUGCGCGUCAAUUCUGCUCAAAAGAAGAGAAGAGGAAUAUACAUAUUAUACGAGGACGUGAAGUUAUGCCCAUACGAAGAUGUGCAUGUUUUGUGGUCUAUACUCGUCGAGUCUCAACGACACACUUUGCAACCCAAACAAUAAAAACUCUAUUUCAUUAUUGAUGUUUAGCUCUCUUUUAGUUAAGUGGUUCAUAUAUAUAUCGACUGUUCAUGCCCAAGGACGAGACAAAGGGAGAUACUUAGAAGCGACAUGAUUCAUUCAUACGUUUUCUCUCACUUGUACAUAAUCAUAAUAUCAAUACACAGAGAUUCUCUUUCCCAUAAGGUUCAUA